AUGACUCUGUGUCGGCAUUCUGUUGCAAAUACCAGCCCAUUUGCUUCUCCUUCAUCAGUCCUAGAUAACUAUGGAGAACAAUGCAUACAGUUGGAAGCACGGAGGCCUUUUAAAAAUAUUACGAAUGUCCCAGUGGUUAAUUCAACGACGGCAUCAAAAGCGAAACAAGGUUGGUGCAUGGACAGUUCAGUGGUCGAUCAGUAUGGUUGCUCAUCAAACAUGAAGCAAGUUUUGGUAUAUCUAAAGCGGGUAAAGACAUAUCUGAAUUGGACCAAGGCCUUAUUCUUCAGUCAAAUAUGUGCCACCUAG
rnacentral:rRNA from 1 species